UACAGAGGGUGCGAGCGUUAAUCGGAAUUACUGGGCGUAAAGCGUGCGCAGGCGGUGAUGUAAGGCAGAUGUGAAAUCCCCGGGCUCAACCUGGGAACUGCAUUUGUGACUGCAUCGCUGGAGUGCGGCAGAGGGGGAUGGAAUUCCGCGUGUAGCAGUGAAAUGCGUAGAUAUGCGGAGGAACACCGAUGGCGAAGGCAAUCCCCUGGGCCUGCACUGACGCUCAUGCACGAAAGAGUGGGGAGCAAACAGG
rnacentral:rRNA from 1 species